UAAUGAAAUAUGUAUAUGGAAAUUUUGAAAAGCAUUUUUAGGUAAAUUAUAAGAAAAUCUUCGAGAAAUGAGAGCAAGACCUUUCCAAUCUGACCCUGAAUCCUCAGACACGACUUUACCUUGUGUCACAUAUCUAUCAGGGACGGCUUUAUGCGCUUAAGACAAGGACAGAUCCUUUUUUCUUUCUUUCAUAUUUCUCAUGAAUUUUUGGCACAGACCAAACGAGCUAUUGCUCUAAGUUUUCAAUUAUUCGAAUUAUAAUGAUUUCCAUCUAUGUAUCAUUUUUAACUAUAUAUCUUUAUUGAUGUAAUAAAACACUUAGCAACGCGGUUAUUAAAGGGCGUAUCAUAGGCCCGCGUAUAAAACAUACAAAACGUGCAAAAGCAUUACCAUGAGGCUCUAAUAAAUUAUCUCAAUUCUUAAGGCAAUUUCGUGUUGACGCAUAGAGGAUAAACCUGACUAGGAUAACAUAAGGAAUUACAUUCUCCAGCAACGUGGAAACAGAACAUCAUGGGAGGCCAAGGCAAGAGUAAGAAAAAAAAUGGUGGCGGCGUAAAAGGGAAUGGAAAGAAUGGUAAAUCAGGUAAAGGAGGAAAUGGAGGAAAAGGUGGAAAGAGUGGAAAAGGAUCGAAGAAGACGUCAAGGGGUUCAAAGAGGAGUGGAGGCAAGGCCAGAUUCGCCAUGGAUAUUUUUAACGAAGAAGUCAUGGAAAACGCUUACUAUACUUGUCACAACAUCAUGGAUGUUCUUAAAUGUCGCGGAUUUCCUUGGCCAGAGGCACAAAAGAAAAAGAAGAAAGGCAAAAAAAAUUGAGCACAUCUUCCCUCUUUCGAGAGGUCUGUCGCAAUGGCUACACUAUUUUCUUGAAAACUAAAUGAAUAUUGUAUUAAUUUAAUCCAUGGCAAAAUAAAAAUCUCG